UUAAUGUUGAAAGAAUAAAAGAUUGUCAGAGAAGGUACUAUGAUCGUGAAGAUGUUUAUCCAUUGCAUUUCGGAUGUGCUGAUCCCUGUAAAUUCCCCAAAUUGGGGAAACUUGACUGUAAUUUGUGAAUGAGGAAAUUGUGUAUGCACACCCCUACC
ensembl:snRNA LOC120094024 U1 spliceosomal RNA